rnacentral:miRNA from 1 species
GGCAUGAUGUAGCAGUGGAG